rnacentral:ncRNA from 1 species
AUAAAUCUAAUGCGUAGAAUUAGUAGUUAAACUAUUAUGGUUUUAGAGAGUUGGCGCAGGUGAAAGUCCAAUACCAGAGGUUUAAUGAAUGGAUCUACAAAGAGUUUGGCGAAAUGGCUUUUCAGAGUAGCUAAUACUGGGGGUUUCCCGUUAUAGAAACAGGAUAUCUAGCAAUGCUAUGUAUCUGCUGAGUGAGAUUAUCUAAUGGAUAAUCUAAUUAAGGUGGUACCGCGAAAUAAUAGUCUUUCGUCCUUUUC